rnacentral:rRNA from 1 species
AUUGAACGCUGGCGGCAUGCCUUACACAUGCAAGUCGAACGGCAGCACGGGUGCUUGCACCUGGUGGCGAGUGGCGAACGGGUGAGUAAUACAUCGGAACAUGUCCUGUAGUGGGGGAUAGCCCGGCGAAAGCCGGAUUAAUGCCGCAUACGAUCCACGGAUGAAAGCGGGGGACCUUCGGGCCUCGCGCUAUAGGGUUGGCCGAUGGCUGAUUAGCUAGUUGGUGGGGUAAAGGCCUACCAAGGCGACGAUCAGUAGCUGGUCUGAGAGGACGACCAGCCACACUGGGACUGAGACACGGCCCAGACUCCUACGGGAGGCAGCAGUGGGGAAUUUUGGACAAUGGGCGAAAGCCUGAUCCAGCAAUGCCGCGUGUGUGAAGAAGGCCUUCGGGCUGUAAAGCACUUUUGUCCGGAAAGAAAUCCUUGACUCUAAUACAGUCGGGGGAUGACGGUACCGGAAGAAUAAGCACCGGCUAACUACGUG